rnacentral:misc_RNA from 1 species
UUUCCGUAGGUGAACCUGCGGAAGGAUCAUUACUGAGUGAGGGCCCCUCGGGGUCCAACCUCCCACCCGUGUUUAACGAACCUUGUUGCUUCGGCGGGCCCGCCUCACGGCCGCCGGGGGGCAUCUGCCCCCGGGCCCGCGCCCGCCGAAGCCACCUGUGAACGCUGUCUGAAGUAUGCAGACUGAGACAAUUAUUAAAUUAAUUAAAACUUUCAACAACGGAUCUCUUGGUUCCGGCUUCGAUGAAGAACGCAGCAGAUGGGAAGAGCACACGUCUGA